ACGCGCUGAACUUAAGCAUAUCACUAAGCGCAGGAAAAGAAAAUAACUAUGAUUCCCUCAGUAACGGCGAGUGAAGCGGGAUGAGCCCAAGGUGAAAAUCUCUGUCGUGAGACUUGAGAGUUGUAAUCUAUAGAGCGAUCACUGACCAGCCCCCUGACGCCCAAGUGUCUUGGAACGGACCGCCGUGGAGGGUGAUAGCCCCGUACGGUGUCGGGGGAACGCUAGGUGGCGCUUGAAGAGUCGUGUUGUUUGGUACUGCAGCACUAAGUGGGAGGUAAACUUCUCCUAAGGCUAAAUAACUAUGGGAGACCGAUAGCGAACAAGUACUGUGAAGGAAAGAUGAAAAAGAACUUUGAAUAAAAGAGAGUUAAAAGACCUGAAACCGUUGAGGAGGAAGCGAUAGAAACUUAUUAUUCGGCUUGGCGCUGGCGAAGGGGCAGCCGCUUGUCUGCGUUCGAUCACCGUAAGGGGUCUGCGCAGGCUGGUCUAGCCCUUAGUUUGCGCCCUGUUGAUAGGCAAGAUGGGCUUUGCUCGUGUCAUAACCUCCGUUGGGUCAGAGCUUCGGCAUCACUCUGCGGAAGGCUGUUGCGAGCGAGGCUGAGGGGCUUCGUGCGAUCUUGCAGAUAUGGUUUUUACCGACCCGUCUUGAAACACGGACCAAGGAGUCUAACAUGCUUGCGAGUGUGCUGGUGGACGAAACCAAACACGCGUAAUGAAGGUGAGCGGUGCCAACUUCGGUGCAGCACCGGCCGGUCAGGAUCCUCUGGAGAAAGAUUGAGUCUGAGCAGGCCUGUUAGGACCCGAAAGAUGGUGAACUAUGCUUGAGUAGGGUGAAGCCAGAGGAAACUCUUGUGGAAGCCCGAAGGGGUACUGACGUGCAAAUCGUUCUUCAAACUUGAGUAUAGGGGCGAAAGACUAAUCGAACCAUCUAGUAGCUGGUUCCCUCCGAAGUUUCUCUCAGGAUAGCAAGGACAGUAAAGCAGUUUUGUAUUAGGUAAAGAAANUGAUUAGAAGCCUCGGGGAGUUUUAUUCUCGACUUAUUCUCAAACUUUAAAUUGGUAAGAACUCGGCAUUUCUUAAGUAAAAGGUCGAGGUAGAAUGCUUGUCCUUAGUGGGCCAUUUUUGGUAAGCAGAACUGGCGAUGAGGGAUGAACCUAACGUUGGGUUAAGGUGCCAAACUGCACGCGCAUCAGAUACCACGAAAGGGCCGUUGAUUCAUUUAGACAGCAGGACGGUGGCCAUGGAAGUUGGAACCCGCUAAGGAGUGUGUAACAACUCACCUGCCGAAUGAAUUAGCCCCGAAAAUUGAUGGCGCUCCAGCGUGCGACCGAUACCCGGCCAUUGUGGCGAGAGUGUGGCCAUAAUGAGUAGGAGGGCGUGGGCGUCGUGUGGAAGCUUUGGGCGUGAGCCUGAGUUGAACGGCGUCCAGUGCAGAUCUUGGUGGUAGUAGCAAUUAUUCAAAUGAGAACUUUGAAGGCCGAAGUGGAGAAGGUUUCCAUGAGAACAGCAAUUGGUCAUGGGUUACUCGGUCCUAAGAUAUUGGUCAAGACCUUGCAAAUGAGCUUCGGCUCGCGAUCGAAAGGGAAUGGGGUUAAUAUUCCUCAAGCUGGCCAUGGAUGUCACGGUAACGUUUGUGAGCUCGGUAACACCAGCGCGUGCCUCUGGGAGAGUUGUCUUUUCUUGUUUUAACAGACCAAUGACUCUGAAAUCGGAUUACCCGGAGAUAGAGUUGUAAUUCUGGAAGAGCGUCCUGUCUUUAUUUUGGGACGUCAGAUGCGCUCGCGAUGGUCCUUGAAAAACCGAGUGAGGUAAUUUAUUCCAUGCCAGGCCGUACCAACAACCGCAUCAGGUCUCCAAGGUU
rnacentral:rRNA from 1 species